GACGAACGCUGGCGGCGUGCCUAACACAUGCAAGUCGAGCGGAGUCGAUCGACGGAAGCCUUCGGGCGGAAGAUGGUUGACUUAGCGGCGGAUGGGUGAGUAACGCGUGGGCAACCUGCCUCGAAGACCGGGAUAACAGACCGAAAGGGCUGCUAAUACCGGAUGUGGUCAAGGAUCCGCAUGGAUCUUUGAUUAAAGGGGAAACCCGUUUCGAGAUGGGCCCGCGUCCUAUCAGCUAGUUGGUGAGGUAAAAGCUCACCAAGGCGACGACGGGUAGCCGGCCUGAGAGGGUGACCGGCCACACUGGAACUGAGACACGGUCCAGACUCCUACGGGGGCAGCAGUGGGGAAUCUUCCACAAUGGGCGAAAGCCUGAUGGAGCGACGCCGCGUGAGCGAAGAAGGCCUUCGGGUCGUAAAGGCUCUGUCCUAAGGGAAGAAACGGACGGUACCUUAGGUAGGAAGCCCGGCUAACUACGUG
rnacentral:rRNA from 1 species